rnacentral:tRNA from 1 species
GAGGGUAUAGCUUAGUAGUAAAGCACAUGUUUAGCAUGCAUGAGGUCUUGGGUUCAAUCCCUAGUAGCUCCA